rnacentral:rRNA from 1 species
CAGUAGCCGCGGGAAUACGUAGGGUGCGAGCGUUAAUCGGAAUUACUGGGCGUAAAGCGUGCGCAGGCGGUUAUGUAAGACAGUUGUGAAAUCCCCGGGCUCAACCUGGGAACUGCAUCUGUGACUGCAUAGCUAGAGUACGGUAGAGGGGGAUGGAAUUCCGCGUGUAGCAGUGAAAUGCGUAGAUAUGCGGAGGAACACCGAUGGCGAAGGCAAUCCCCUGGACCUGUACUGACGCUCAUGCACGAAAGCGUGGGUAGCAAACAGGAUUAGAUACCCCAGUAGUCCCUGUCUCUUAUAC